GUUUGUUAUAUCAGACUGCAUAAUCACGUGGAAAAUGCAUACCUCGUCUGAUCUCAGAAGUCAAGCAAUCUCGGGCUUGGUUAGUACUUGGAUGGGUGACCGCUUGGGAAUACCAAGUGUGAUAAGCA
rnacentral:rRNA from 1 species